rnacentral:rRNA from 1 species
GACAGAGGGUGCAAACGUUGUUCGGAAUUACUGGGCGUAAAGCGCAUGUAGGCGGCCACGCAGGUCGGAUGUGAAAUCCCUCGGCUCAACCAAGGAAGUGCAUUCGAAACCGCAUGGCUGGAGUCCCGGAGAGGAUGGCGGAAUUCUCGGUGUAGAGGUGAAAUUCGUAGAUAUCGAGAGGAACACCGGCGGCGAAAGCGGCCAUCUGGACGAGGACUGACGCUGAGAUGCGAAAGCGUGGGGAGCAAACAGG